rnacentral:rRNA from 1 species
GAUGAACGCUAGCGGCAGGCUUAACACAUGCAAGUCGAGGGGCAGCGCGAUGUAGCAAUACAUUGGCGGCGACCGGCGCACGGGUGCGUAACACGUAUGGAACUUACCCUUUACUGGGAGAUAGCCCGGAGAAAUCCGGAUUAAUAUCCCAUAAUAAACGAAGUGGCAUCACUUUGUUUUGAAAGCUCCGGCGGUAAAGGAUGGCCAUGCGCACGAUUAGCUAGUAGGUGAGGUAACGGCUCACCUAGGCUACGAUCGUUAGGGGGCCUGAGAGGGUUAUCCCCCACACUGGUACUGAGACACGGACCAGACUCCUACGGGAGGCAGCAGUGAGGAAUAUUGCGCAAUGGAGGCAACUCUGACGCAGCCAUGCCGCGUGCAGGAAGAAGGCGCUACGCGUUGUAAACUGACUUUUAACCGGGAAGAAACCCUCCGACGUGUCGGAGGUUGACGGUACCGGAGGAAUAAGCACGGCUAACUUCGUGCCAGCAGCCGCGGUAAAGUAGACG